UCCUGCGUCUUUUGGGAUCUUACAAAGCUUCAAACGACGCGUCGACUAUUAAAUUAGUCCUCGACGAUUUUGAUAGUCGACGUAAUCGCGACUAGUUGACUAAUCGUGGCAGCCCUAGUGUGCACGCUGUCCUCACCACCCACACUGAAACUGUCACAGUUCCAACAUCAGUAGGAAACACAGCCAGGUAAACUUUUCAGGACAAACGAGACACAAAAGGAAUUUUACUGGAAAGCAAAGAUUGUUUCAGGAUCUACAAGUUUAAAAGAUUAAACCAGCAGCUUCAGGGAAGGUGACACUGAUGCCUGUGAGAAGAACACCACUAAACCACUUUAUACUGGGAGCUGAGGGAUCAGGAGCACGGCUCACACCCAGGAAAGUAUGAUUUUAACCCCAUCCUGCAACAACACAAGUAACAGUGAAGAAAAGAAAACUUGUGGAUUUUCAUCUCAUUUCCCAAUUACAAUUUAGAUGUGACAAAAUAGGUUUUAAGAUCAGAUGUAGAGGUCAGUUUGUUUUAUAAAUGAUUUAGAUCAUUUCAUUACAGAUCAUGACACUAAAAUAGACUUUGUUUAAGAGAGGUCUAUAAACACACAGUGAGUGAAGAAGAAACACCCAGUGCAUCAUGGGAAUCCACCAGCAUAUGGACUACUUGCACAAUCACUUCUGCGUUCUAUGUAGUCCUGCCCCAGUGCUUCCGGUGUGGUUAAACCAUGGCGACGUUCUACACUCGCUGCCUACAAGAGCUCCCAAAAUUGAACAUCGCUGAUGUUCAUCGGAUUUGCAGAUUGACGACUACCCCAGCCAGCAAAUUAGAUAAAGGAUUUAAGUUAUAUGCUGCAUCAUUUAUACACAACUACCAGGAUUAAGCUUCUGGAUUCAUCGCCGGUGGUACUGACACAUAGCCAGUGCUCCUGUGUGGCAGGCGCUGUUAUGUGCAAUCACACAGUGGCACUGCUCUUCCAAACAGCACACUACUCACAACUCAGAGUGCCGGUUGUCCCCCUGUGCAUAGCUGCAUAGCAAUGGCACAAGCCACGGACAGUGGUAAUUUAAAUAAGGUUAAAGUUUUUGAAUUAGACCAUGUUUACAUAUGAACAGCAACACCAUCCAUAGUAAAUGUGUCUUCUGUUAGGGUGUGAAGCCAGGACCCAUCAACUCCAUGAUCUUCACUAAGCCGGUACCAAAUAGGAUGGCCCAGACUGGAGUACGGAGUGGCUUCUACAGAGGCAUGGUGGCUCCGUUACCAGAUCCUUGCUUGUUCAGAAUAACGGAGGCAUGUGCAAAAUUUAAUAUUGAGGACAGGCCACUUGGGACCACAAUGAACAUGAGACCUGACAAGCCCCUUGUGGAAAGUGCUUUUGGGCUGGUGCAGGAGGGCAGUGUCCUGUCAUAUCAGCAGCCGGUUUUGACAACCCGGUACAUCACACUACACCGUGAUGCACCACCAACACCGCACUUGCCUCUGGAGGGUAUGACAUCUUGCCAUCAGAUUGUGUGUUUGUGUGCUCAGAAGAAAAGCUUCUGCAUCUGAAAAGCUUGUCUGUAACUCUGGAAAUGGCUCACGAAAUAGAGGAAGCUACACUUGAGCAAAGCUCUUCAUCUGAGUGGCAUCAGCUCCGCAGGCCCAGAGUGACUGCCUCUAAGUUUCGGGAGGUGUGUCACGUCAGAGGCCAGAGCUCGGCAGAGUCACUAGCAGAGCGUAUAUUGAAGGGAACAAGGCAGACAGCAGACAUGAGGAGAGGAACUGAGAUGGAGCCUGCAAUAGCAGCAGAGUAUAGUAGGCUAAUGAAUGUUAACUACUCACCCUGUGGCCUGGUCAUUCACCCCAUUGCCCCCUGGCUUGCUGCAUCUCCUGAUGGUGUUGUUUUUGACCCUAAUGAAUACCCCCAGUUUGGCCUCGUCGAAUUCAAAUGUCCCAAUGUACAAAACGUUAUUGACUGCAAAUAUGUGCAGAUGGAAUGUGUGUUGAAAGAUUUUAUGUUUUAUGUGUUUUUAUUCGUUGUUUUAUUAUCUUUCAUUAAGAAGCAUAUCAUGAAGUGUUCAUAUAUUUCACAAGGUUUCUGUUGUGCAAGCUGACAUUUAACUCUACAACACAAAUAAGUUAGACAGGAAACAGAUGCAGCACCCAAACCACAAGAGUUGAAAAGUGCACCACGUUUCCUAGAGGAAGCAGCCAGACACACAUGUGACACACACACACCCACACACACAACCAUUGGUUUAGAGGAACUUGUAAAAGAGGAAAUGUGAUGUGCUUGCAUACGUGAUGUAACCUAUAAAAAGAACUGUUGCCUGCACUCAGGGUGUGGGUCUCGCCAGAGGCCUCACCCGUGCGCGGGGUCUCGCCAGAAUCCUCACCCGUGCACGCCGCUGUUAUUAUAUUCUAACUGUCUGAGUGUCUUUAUUCAACCUGAAGAAUGUCUUAUUAAAAAUAAACUCUUGACAAU